UACGUAGGUGGCAAGCGUUAUCCGGAUUUAUUGGGCGUAAAGGGAACGCAGGCGGUCUUUUAAGUCUGAUGUGAAAGCCUUCGGCUUAACCGGAGUAGUGUAUUGGAAACUGGGAGACUUGAGUGCAGAAGAGGAGAGUGGAACUCCAUGUGUAGCGGUGAAAUGCGUAGAUACAUGGAAGAACACCAGUGGCGAAAGCGGCUCUCUGGUCUGUAACUGACGCUGAGGGUCGAAAGCGUGGGUAGCAAACAGG
rnacentral:rRNA from 1 species